UACGGAGGGUGCAAGCGUUGCUCGGAAUUAUUGGGCGUAAAGGGUAGGUAGGUGGUCUCAUUUGUCUGGGGUGAAAGCCUUGAGCUUAACUCAGGAAGUGCCCCAGAAACGGUGAGACUAGAGUCCUGGAGAGGGUCGUGGAAUUCCCGGUGUAGCGGUGAAAUGCGUAGAGAUCGGGAGGAACACCAGAGGCGAAGGCGGCGACCUGGACAGGUACUGACACUCAACUACGAAAGCGUGGGGAGCAAACAGG
rnacentral:rRNA from 1 species